UGCAAGUCGAACGAGUUCUCGUUGAUGAUCGGUGCUUGCACCGAGAUUCAACAUGGAACGAGUGGCGGACGGGUGAGUAACACGUGGGUAACCUGCCCUUAAGUGGGGGAUAACAUUUGGAAACAGAUGCUAAUACCGCAUAGAUCCAAGAACCGCAUGGUUCUUGGCUGAAAGAUGGCGUAAGCUAUCGCUUUUGGAUGGACCCGCGGCGUAUUAGCUAGUUGGUGAGGUAAUGGCUCACCAAGGCGAUGAUACGUAGCCGAACUGAGAGGUUGAUCGGCCACAUUGGGACUGAGACACGGCCCAAACUCCUACGGGAGGCAGCAGUAGGGAAUCUUCCACAAUGGACGCAAGUCUGAUGGAGCAACGCCGCGUGAGUGAAGAAGGCUUUCGGGUCGUAAAACUCUGUUGUUGGAGAAGAAUGGUCGGCAGAGUAACUGUUGUCGGCGUGACGGUAUCCAACCAGAAAGCCACGGCUAACUACGUGCCAGCAGCCGCGGUAAUACGUAGGUGGCAAGCGUUAUCCGGAUUUAUUGGGCGUAAAGCGAGCGCAGGCGGUUUUUUAAGUCUGAUGUGAAAGCCCUCGGCUUAACCGAGGAAGCGCAUCGGAAACUGGGAAACUUGAGUGCAGAAGAGGACAGUGGAACUCCAUGUGUAGCGGUGAAAUGCGUAGAUAUAUGGAAGAACACCAGUGGCGAAGGCGGCUGUCUGGUCUGUAACUGACGCUGAGGCUCGAAAGCAUGGGUAGCGAACAGGAUUAGAUACCCUGGUAGUCCAUGCCGUAAACGAUGAAUGCUAGGUGUUGGAGGGUUUCCGCUCUUCAGUGCCGCAGCUAACGCAUUAAGCAUUCCGCCUGGGGAGUACGACCGCAAGGUUGAAACUCAAAGGAAUUGACGGGGGCCCGCACAAGCGGUGGAGCAUGUGGUUUAAUUCGAAGCAACGCGAAGAACCUUACCAGGUCUUGACAUCUUUUGAUCACCUGAGAGAUCAGGUUUCCCCUUCGGGGGCAAAAUGACAGGUGGUGCAUGGUUGUCGUCAGCUCGUGUCGUGAGAUGUUGGGUUAAGUCCCGCAACGAGCGCAACCCUUAUGACUAGUUGCCAGCAUUUAGUUGGGCACUCUAGUAAGACUGCCGGUGACAAACCGGAGGAAGGUGGGGAUGACGUCAAAUCAUCAUGCCCCUUAUGACCUGGGCUACACACGUGCUACAAUGGAUGGUACAACGAGUUGCGAGACCGCGAGGUCAAGCUAAUCUCUUAAAGCCAUUCUCAGUUCGGACUGUAGGCUGCAACUCGCCUACACGAAGUCGGAAUCGCUAGUAAUCGCGGAUCAGCACGCCGCGGUGAAUACGUUCCCGGGCCUUGUACACACCGCCCGUCACACCAUGAGAGUUUGUAACACCCGAAGCCGGUGGCGUAACCCUUUUAGGGAGCGAGCCGUCUAA
rnacentral:rRNA from 1 species